GGAAUAGUUAACCCCUAUGAUAGACUAUAUAAAUUGACUUUCUCUCAUUUCAUCCGCCGCCACCAACACCAAACCCUAACUCUUCCUUCACCGACGAACACAAAACGGCGACAACACGAUCGCAUCACACUCCCACAUGCCGCCGACGAAAUCUGCGACGCGGUGGAUGAAGCGGUGACACGGUGAAUAAGGCGGCGGGGUGGGGGACAUUGAUUUCGUCAAACCUUACAGAAAAUCGGAAGAAACUGCCUCGCUAACCUGAAUCGGGCGAGAAAGAAACAAAUCCAUGGUUCGCGACAUCCACAGUCUCGAAAACGGAAAAAGCUCAAACCUUAGUUCACAACUGAUACAAAAACGGAUAAAUGUAAAGGGUUUCAGCUUGACCUUGUUCUAAAAGAAAAAAAUUGGGAGCAACAUUACAAAGGCUAGACAAAGAAGAUAUACAAAAAAUGGUUUAUUCAUAAUUAGAGAUAUUGGGGUGAAGAUUAUCAACCAAGGUGAUAAAAGGGAUUCAGGAACACAAAUUGCAAAUCAAGUAGCAAGAAAGGAACUCAGAUUCUUUCAAAUUCAAAACAGAAUGUUACAGAAGGUAUCAAGGUACAAAAUUUGAAAAAUCAAGUAGCAAGACAAGACUUCACUGCAAUACGAACUGUCAAAGAAGAAAAGGAGAAAAGCAACCAAGGAAGAUGAAAGAGCAGAAUCUACAAAAUGAUUACAGAUGAACAUAAGUUACAUAGCACGCAUGGGAGCUUGAAGCCUACACUAUGAUUAUAACAUAAAGGAGUAGGAUUAAAGAGAGAGAAGAAGAUAAAAAAGGGACAAAUUGCAAUGGGAAGUAAAUCUUGGAUGACAAACAAUAUUUUCUCACAACUGCAUCAAGACAAAAGUCAUGGGAAACUAACAGGGAAUCCAUCACAGCUUUGGAAGAAGAAAAAAUAGAUAUAUUGUAAUAAAAUAGUGGUAUUUUAUAUCAAGCCAAUGGAAGGCUAACAGAAAUAUGUAGGUUGCAACCCUACAUGGAAUGAUCGGUCCAUACAUAAUUAAUCACACAUAAGAUUCACAUUAAACAAAGUGACUUUUACAAUAAGAUAAUAAAAAAUAAGCUAAGAUGGUUGCAAUAUUUCAUGAUGUUUCCCACCUAAAUGUGGGCCCAGUGGCACUUCUGUAAAUUUUCCAAACAAGUCUCCCUUUAUAUUAGCAUAGAUAUGAAUAUUUGAAAUAACACGAGUUUUAAGGAAUAAUUGGUAAAAUAAAAGAGAGAUAAAAAGAUAAAGAAAUUAUUGCAUUUAGUGAAAAAUGGAUCUUAUUAGAGAGAAAGAAGUUAGCAAAAAUAUAAUGAACUAUUUUUAUCUAAAAUGAAAAUUACAAUCUGCUCAUAUAUUUUUAUGGGAUGAAGAAUAUAUAAUUGUAUUAUAAAUAAAAAUAUCAACCCAAAAGAAAGUAAUAAAUGCAAUGCAAAUAGAAAGAUAGCAUUAAAUGAAUGUAUAGGAAAGAGAAAUAUUUUUUACAUAAAUUCAAAAUACUCACAUUUAGUGAUUGAGGUCAAUUUGAUUCUAAAAAGUUCAGAAAAAUUCAAAAUAUUGCGAAUGGAUUUUAAACAUGCAAAUUGCAAAAUUUAUAGAUUUUUCAUAAUAAUUUUUUCAGAAAUAAUCAAAUGUAGUCUUAACUUAUUCUCCAUUUGUCAUACCAUCUACACAAAAUAGAAUCAAAUAUAGUUGGAUGGUUGAUUAAUUAAUUGUAUUCGUUUCAUUUAAUAUCUUAUAAAUCGUGACAAAGUUAUGGUUGGAGCAAUUCAAAGAAGAAUCCUCAUCUCUCCUCUUGUCAUAGACAUUAAAAAUACCAAUUACGGAAACUUUUGAAGAAAGGAUUUUACCAAGAACACAAUGAGGAAUGUAUCUAAGCUCACAAUUAUCAUGUUUUUUGCCUUUCUUUUUGAUAUUCAAAGUUCACUGAUGGUACAUGCUCGACUUGUUAAUCCUCCAAUGCCUUCAGUUGGUGAAGAAGCUGCAAGGGCCCCUUCAAAUUAUGACACAAAAAUGGAAAAUUUGAAGUUUAUUAGACCUCCUCCAAUAUACCGGUGCGUGAGCAUCUUGGGCGUAUGCAAUGUAAUGCUAAGUGAAGCUCGAUGUGUCCAACUCUGCAACAAUUAUUAUUAUGAUAUGCAUCCAUCUUCUCGCUGUUACCUAUUUCCCGGAGCUACAGAUGUUUAUUGUGACUGUGAGCAUGAUUGUAAAUAGAGAUCCUAGUCCAAUUUCCAAAUAUUCGCGUAACAUUGUGAGUUUGUGACAUUAUUUGGUCCUUUGUCAGC